AUUACAAUUAUAAAUCUAAGAUUUAUUUAAUUCUAAUCUCAAAUGUUUAAUAAGCUUAAGUAAUUCAAACACAUUGAUUCUAAAACCAAAGACUUCUUAAAUAACAUUGGUGCUAGAUUGAAUUUUAAUGAAAAGAAGUGUGGAAAUUGGACCCACAUUAGACAAAAUACUAAUAAUAUUUUAUUGGUUCUAGACUUUAAUAUAUUUUGUACUAAACAUGAUAUAUGCUCAUUUAUUUUUAUUUAUUAAUUCUUAAAUGUAAUGGACAAAAGUUGUUUCUUUUUUUUAAUAAAUCAAACAAAAAAAAUUAAAUGUGAUAAUUAAUGACACAAAUGCUCUUAUAAAAACUCUAACUUCAAAAUCUUAUACUUUAGAUCAAAAUU
rnacentral:lncRNA from 1 species